GGGGGGAGCACUGGAUCCUGGGCUGUGUCCCCAGGAUCCUGGGUUCCGGGCCCCUGCCGCUGGAAUCGCGUUCCCGGGCCACGCAGCCCCCU
rnacentral:pre_miRNA from 1 species